rnacentral:piRNA from 1 species
UGACCAAGCCCUGCAGACUGGGUCCCACUGA